ensembl:lncRNA
ACCCGGAAGCGCGGCGCGGACUCCUGGCAGGCUGGUAGGUGUUUGGCUACCACUCGGUACGCGCAGUCCGAGGGCCGCGGUAGGCGGCGGGGCCUCGCCGGGACCCCUGCACGGCCCUCCCGGAAGUAGAGGAGUCCCCACCGCCAGCCUCACCCAGCCGGCGUGGGAACGUGGGCGCGUCGCUUCACUUCUGGACUGCAUCUCUGUCUUCCUGGGAUGUGCUGUGCUAUCGCCCAAUAGUCACUCCUAGCAGGCUCCCUGGGGGUGCUCAGGAUAAGCUUGCUGACCACACCAUGGUUCAGAGUGACCCACAGGGAAACAGUAGUUUAACCAGGUCGUGGAAUGCUGUGCUGCUCUCCAUGAGCUGGUCACCGAGACUGUCUCCUGCAGCCCUUUCUGAGCCUUCGGCUGUCAGGAAGCUCUGCUGUGCUCCUUGCCACGGUAGGUGAUCCUGCCUGAGAUGGAAGCAGGAGGCACCUGCCCUGGGGCUACUCGGACUACGGGAGGUGGACAGGAUGAGGCAGGCAGAGGACUGAGCUCUCUCAGGCUCUGCAGAGCUGUCUCAGCCCCGUCCCCUGCCUACCCUAGCCCUGCAUCCUCAUGUCACCUUUGCCUGUUCUGUUCUUCCUCCCUGGCAUCUAGGUGAUCAUCAC